rnacentral:rRNA from 1 species
CCUCGCUUUGGACUGUACUGGCGCGGCCCUGCCGUAAAACCCCCAACGUCUGAAAAUUUGACCUCGGAUCAGGUAGGAAUACCCGCUGAACUUAAGCAUAUCAAUAAGCGGAGGA